rnacentral:siRNA from 1 species
AACAUAAAAGUGUGAUUCUAGUGU